rnacentral:lncRNA from 1 species
AACCGCAAAGGUAGAGGGUUCUUGAAAAUUAUGAGGCUCAAAAAGAAUCCUAAUCUGACCAGUCUGAAGGACUGCUAGAAUCCACACGAUACUAGCCAUGGUAACCAAAGCCGUAAUAGAGGGUAUCGACGGGCAGACAUUCAGCAUAGCACCCAUGAUCCUCACCGAACUAUACCGAGCCUUAGAGAAAUGUCAACAAGGGGCACCGCACUUAGAAGGGUGCAAUUUGCUACUACAACUCUGGCUCAUUGAACAUCUUCAGAAGGGAGACUAUAGAAAAGAGAUCAUACGACAAGAUUGGG